AACAAGCCUGAGGACGCUACGGCGUGUCUGUCUGGCUGGGCCUUACCUCUUGGUGAGCCGGCGUGCCCUUUAUUGGUGUGCGUUGGGGAACCAGGACUUUUACCUUGAGAAAAUUAGAGUGUUCAAAGCAGGCCUGUGCCUGAAUACAUUAGCAUGGAAUAAUAAAAUAGGACGUGCGGUUCUAUUUUGUUGGUUUCUAGAGUCGCCGUAAUGAUUAAUAGGGAUAGUUGGGA
rnacentral:rRNA from 1 species